CCGACCUCGGAUCAGGCGUGAUUACCCGCUGAACUUAAGCAUAUCACUAAGCGGAGGAAAAGAA
rnacentral:rRNA from 1 species